ACUAAGCGUACACGGUGGAUGCCCUGGCAGUCAGAGGCGAUGAAGGGCGUGCUAAUCUGCGAUAAGCGCCGGUAAGGUGAUAUGAACCGUUAUAACCGGCGAUACCCGAAUGGGGAAACCCAGUGUGACUCGUCACACUAUCAUUAACUGAAUCCAUAGGUUAAUGAGGCGAACCGGGGGAACUGAAACAUCUAAGUACCCCGAGGAAAAGAAAUCAACCGAGAUUCCCCCAGUAGCGGCGAGCGAACGGGGAGGAGCCCAGAGCCUGAAUCAGCAUGUGUGUUAGUGGAAGCGUCUGGAAAGGCGCGCGAUACAGGGUGACAGCCCCGUACACAAAAGCGCAUGUGCUGUGAGCUCGAUGAGUAGGGCGGGACACGUGGUAUCCUGUCUGAAUAUGGGGGGACCAUCCUCCAAGGCUAAAUACUCCUGACUGACCGAUAGUGAACCAGUACCGUGAGGGAAAGGCGAAAAGAACCCCGGCGAGGGGAGUGAAAAAGAACCUGAAACCGUGUACGUACAAGCAGUGGGAGCCCCACCACCAAAGCAUUCUCUGGUGUUGAAGGCCCUGCAAAGCAGCAUCGCGGUGGCGGAGCGUCGUUUGCGACGCCCAACACACAAAACAAGCGGUGAAUGCUUUGGGGUGGGGUGACUGCGUACCUUUUGUAUAAUGGGUCAGCGACUUAUAUUCUGUAGCAAGGUUAACCGAAUAGGGGAGCCGGAGGGAAACCGAGUCUUAAUUGGGCGUUAAGUUGCAGGGUAUAGACCCGAAACCCGGUGAUCUAGCCAUGGGCAGGUUGAAGGUUGGGUAACACUAACUGGAGGACCGAACCGACUAAUGUUGAAAAAUUAGCGGAUGACCUGUGGCUGGGGGUGAAAGGCCAAUCAAACCGGGAGAUAGCUGGUUCUCCCCGAAAGCUAUUUAGGUAGCGCCUCGUGAAUUCAUCUCCGGGGGUAGAGCACUGUUUCGGCUAGGGGGCCAUCCCGGCUUACCAACCCGAUGCAAACUGCGAAUACCGGAGAAUGUUAUCACGGGAGACACACGGCGGGUGCUAACGUCCGUCGUGAAGAGGGAAACAACCCAGACCGCCAGCUAAGGUCCCAAAGUCAUGGUUAAGUGGGAAACGAUGUGGGAAGGCCCAGACAGCCAGGAUGUUGGCUUAGAAGCAGCCAUCAUUUAAAGAAAGCGUAAUAGCUCACUGGUCGAGUCGGCCUGCGCGGAAGAUGUAACGGGGCUAAACCAUGCACCGAAGCUGCGGCAGCGACGCUGAUGCGUUGUUGGGUAGGGGAGCGUUCUGUAAGCCUGCGAAGGUGACCUGUGAGGGUUGCUGGAGGUAUCAGAAGUGCGAAUGCUGACAUAAGUAACGAUAAAGCGGGUGAAAAGCCCGCUCGCCGGAAGACCAAGGGUUCCUGUCCAACGUUAAUCGGGGCAGGGUGAGUCGACCCCUAAGGCGAGGCCGAAAGGCGUAGUCGAUGGGAAACGGGUUAAUAUUCCCGUACUUGGUGUUACUGCGAAGGGGGGACGGAGAAGGCUAUGUUGGCCGGGCGACGGUUGUCCCGGUUUAAGCGUGUAGGUGUGUGUUCCAGGUAAAUCCGGUUCACUUUAACACUGAGGCGUGAUGACGAGGCACUACGGUGCUGAAGCAACAAAUGCCCUGCUUCCAGGAAAAGCCUCUAAGCAUCAGGUAACAUCAAAUCGUACCCCAAACCGACACAGGUGGUCAGGUAGAGAAUACCAAGGCGCUUGAGAGAACUCGGGUGAAGGAACUAGGCAAAAUGGUGCCGUAACUUCGGGAGAAGGCACGCUGACACGUAGGUGAAGUGAUUUACUCACGGAGCUGAAGUCAGUCGAAGAUACCAGCUGGCUGCAACUGUUUAUUAAAAACACAGCACUGUGCAAACACGAAAGUGGACGUAUACGGUGUGACGCCUGCCCGGUGCCGGAAGGUUAAUUGAUGGGGUCAGCGCAAGCGAAGCUCCUGAUCGAAGCCCCGGUAAACGGCGGCCGUAACUAUAACGGUCCUAAGGUAGCGAAAUUCCUUGUCGGGUAAGUUCCGACCUGCACGAAUGGCGUAAUGAUGGCCAGGCUGUCUCCACCCGAGACUCAGUGAAAUUGAACUCGCUGUGAAGAUGCAGUGUACCCGCGGCAAGACGGAAAGACCCCGUGAACCUUUACUAUAGCUUGACACUGAACAUUGAGCCUUGAUGUGUAGGAUAGGUGGGAGGCUUUGAAGUGUGGACGCCAGUCUGCAUGGAGCCGACCUUGAAAUACCACCCUUUAAUGUUUGAUGUUCUAACGUGGACCCGUAAUCCGGGUUGCGGACAGUGUCUGGUGGGUAGUUUGACUGGGGCGGUCUCCUCCUAAAGAGUAACGGAGGAGCACGAAGGUUGGCUAAUCCUGGUCGGACAUCAGGAGGUUAGUGCAAUGGCAUAAGCCAGCUUGACUGCGAGCGUGACGGCGCGAGCAGGUGCGAAAGCAGGUCAUAGUGAUCCGGUGGUUCUGAAUGGAAGGGCCAUCGCUCAACGGAUAAAAGGUACUCCGGGGAUAACAGGCUGAUACCGCCCAAGAGUUCAUAUCGACGGCGGUGUUUGGCACCUCGAUGUCGGCUCAUCACAUCCUGGGGCUGAAGUAGGUCCCAAGGGUAUGGCUGUUCGCCAUUUAAAGUGGUACGCGAGCUGGGUUUAGAACGUCGUGAGACAGUUCGGUCCCUAUCUGCCGUGGGCGCUGGAGAACUGAGGGGGGCUGCUCCUAGUACGAGAGGACCGGAGUGGACGCAUCACUGGUGUUCGGGUUGUCAUGCCAAUGGCACUGCCCGGUAGCUAAAUGCGGAAGAGAUAAGUGCUGAAAGCAUCUAAGCACGAAACUUGCCCCGAGAUGAGUUCUCCCUGAGACUUUAGGUCUCCUGAAGGAACGUUGAAGACGACGACGUUGAUAGGCCGGGUGUGUAAGCGCAGCGAUGCGUUGAGCUAACCGGUACUAAUGAACCGUGAGGCUUAACC
rnacentral:rRNA from 1 species